rnacentral:rRNA from 1 species
GAUGAACGCUGGCGGCGUGCCUAAUACAUGCAAGUCGAGCGAAUGGAUUAAGAGCUUGCUCUUAUGAAGUUAGCGGCGGACGGGUGAGUAACACGUGGGUAACCUGCCCAUAAGACUGGGAUAACUCCGGGAAACCGGGGCUAAUACCGGAUAAUAUUUUGAACUGCAUGGGUAAAAAUUGAAAGGCGGCUUCGGCUGUCACUUAUGGAUGGACCCGCGUCGCAUUAGCUAGUUGGUGAGGUAACGGCUCACCAAGGCAACGAUGCGUAGCCGACCUGAGAGGGUGAUCGGCCACACUGGGACUGAGACACGGCCCAGACUCCUACGGGAGGCAGCAGUAGGGAAUCUUCCGCAAUGGACGAAAGUCUGACGGAGCAACGCCGCGUGAGUGAUGAAGGCUUUCGGGUCGUAAAACUCUGUUGUUAGGGAAGAACAAGUGCUAGUUGAAUAAGCUGGCACCUUGACGGUACCUAACCAGAAAGCCACGGCUAACUACGUGCCAGCCGCCGCCGUAA